UUGAUAAUGCUGGGAUGUGAUGGGGAGCGAAAUUUAGUAGCGAAGUAGCUGAUUUCACACUGUCAAGAAAAGUCUCUAUCGAGGUUAAAGGUACCCGUACCGAAAACCGACACAGGUGGGUGAGGAGCGUAUCCUAAGGCCAGCGAGAGAACUGUUGUUAAGGAACUCGGCAAAAUGACCCCGUAACUUAGGGAUAAGGG
rnacentral:rRNA from 1 species